rnacentral:lncRNA from 1 species
GUUCUUGGCGUAGCUGCUGCCGUUGCCCAUGAAGCUGCUGCUGCUGGUGUUGUACACGGUCUUGUUGUCGGUGUUGGGGAGGUUGUUGUUGUUGUAGCGGUCGGCCUUGUUGGUGCCGCCGCCUCCGGCGCCGCCGCCGAAGGCCAGCUUCCCGGAGCCGAUGAGGCCGGGCCCUCCGUCGUUGAGCUUGAGCCCGACGACGGCGUUGCUCUUGGCGGCGGCGUCGGCGGGCGACGCGGAGGCGGCGAAGAGGACGUCGUUGCUGUUGUUGCGCCGGCCGGCGGGGGACCAGAUGGAGUCGCCGAGGGAGAGGCCCGAGAAGGCGGCCGUCUGCAGGCGCAGCUGGUCGCUGAACUGGUAGAACUCGCGGUCGUAGCCUUCCAUGGCCGUGUUUUGCUUUUUGCCGGGGCGGGGGCGGAGGCGGGGGGAGGGAGAC